GUGCUGGGAUUAAAGGCAUGCGCCACCACCGCCUGGCAUUGUUUGUCCUUUGUCAUAACAGAAAACAAAGUUGCUUGGAGUAUCUGAGGCCAGUAUUUGAAACUGAAAACCUUUUGAAACACAGAACUUGUCUGCAUUUUAUGGUCACUGAUGGAGAUCUACCCCAACUAGACCUUCCUGGAGGGCCCAGGUAGGAGGGAGGAGGAAAUUUGCAUAUUGUUUUUUCCUUUUAUGUGUUAGAAAAACUCACUCAUGCCUGUUUUCAGUACAAAGUGUACUUUUAAAUCUUUUAUUCCUACUGCUUAUGAAGGUAAAAGACAUUAAGGUAAUGUUAUUUCUCUAUCAGUGAGUUAAUGUUGUAAAGCAACUAGAAGAAAAGGCAUGUCUUAAGUAUGUCCUAGCAUAAGCUAUCUUAUACAUUGACCCCAAUACACUCCAUUUAAUGCAUAAGCAAAUAUAAGUACAUGUGUAUAUAUAUUUAUCCUGUAUGCAGAUAGGAGUAGCGCCUUCUGAAGCCACUAUUUCACAUAGAUCUAAUGGUAAAGUGUAAUAUUGGGUCGAGCCAGCAGCAGUACAGGCUGCAUUUCCUGGGACACUCAUGCUGUUGAGGCUCUUAAUUCAUAAUGGCAAGACUACUUUUAGUCAUAGAAAUUGAAAGCCAUUGAGUGACAGGUGUCUAGAAAAUUUAGACCCACCAGAUGGGAACACACUUUAAAUAAUUGUGACCAUAUCUGUUUUGCUUGCUAGUUGCCUAGCAACCCACAGGGGCAGGGCACGAUGGAGUUGCAGUCAUGAAGAAGGUAUGGUCAAUUGCUCUGAUUAUCAAAUAGCUGAAAAGUAGUUUGGCCCUGGUUGGUUUAAGAAACGCUGGGAUUAAAGGCGUGUGCCACCACUCCCUGGCUCAUAAGCUCAUUUUUACUUCAUUGAACGCUUUCAACCUGUCUUCGAAAAUAUACAAUAGAGCAUGAAAGGGGGUUCAGUCCAAAUCCUGCACAAUCCUUGAGACACGAUACAAAUCGUAUUUAUUUUGAAGCCUUUUGAAAUCCACUGGCUCAGAAUGACUGAGCAUAUCCUGCACUCUCUCCUCCUAACACGACUCUAUGUGGACCACGUGCAUGUGAGGAAAGUGAGGAAGGCUGCAGCUGCGCUGGUGGUAUUGUCUGGCAGGCCAGCCUCCUGGUCAUCACCACCUGAGGACCCUCAGAAGCUGACUCUGUCACAAGAGUCUUCCUUGACCUCGGCUCUGGGACAUUGACCUCAUUCUGUGCUAAGAAGGCCUGUUCCUAAGGGCUCAUGUAUCACAGACUUGGAGCUAAAGGAGCCAGACACCCUCAGAAUCCAGUGGAUGCCGACACAAAGAUGUUCACUAUAAGCCUGCUCUCUCUAGCAAAGGAAAACAACAGCACACACUGUGCUGUUCCAGGCAAACUCCACAGAAAAAACGGUGGUCCCCGUGACAGUUUGUAUAUGCUUGGCCCAGGAAGUGGCACUAUUUGGAAGUAUGGCCUUCAUGUAGUAGGUGUGUCAC